UUACGGCCAUAUCACGUCGAAACACCAGUUGCCGUACGAUCACCGAAGUUAAGCAACGUCGAGCCUGGUCAGUGCCUAGAUGGGUGACCGCUUGGAUGUGCGGGUGGUGUAA
rnacentral:rRNA from 1 species